GAAAAAAAGGACUGACAAAGCUGUUCCAACACAUACAAAAGUCACCUUUGAGAUGUCCAAGCUAUUUUCUUUGUGAUGUGUAUCACGGCUUGCAUAAAAGACCAUGUUUAUUCUGCAGCCAUUUACUGGGUACAGCAUGUUUUUUUCUACUACUUUUUUUUUUUUCUUUCAGGUUGUAUUAUUUUUAAUCCAGUCAAAAUUUAGCUCUCAAAGAAUGUCUGAACUUCUGAAAAUUUAAAUGUAAUAUGAAAAACACUUUUUUUGAGAGACCCAAGAUUGUUUUCUUAAAUGGGGGUUAAUUGUAUUCUUCACUUUGAGAGAUUAGGAAUCUGUUAACUCCAAAUGAACUUGAUUCAAGAGCGCAUCUCUUAAAUGCUACUGCUUCAUAGUUUUGUAAAAUAAAUCCCCUGGAAGCA